GAUUAUGGCUCAGGAUGAACGCUAGCUACAGGCUUAACACAUGCAAGUCGAGGGGCAGCGGGAAGUCAGCUUGCUGACUUUGCCGGCGACCGGCGCACGGGUGAGUAACACGUAUCCAACCUCCCGCAUACUCGGGAAUAGCCUUUCGAAAGAAAGAUUAAUGCCCGAUGGUUUCAAGGGAUUGCAUGGUAUCUUGAAUAAAGAUUCAUCGGUAUGCGAUGGGGAUGCGUUCCA
rnacentral:rRNA from 1 species